UAAGACGCCUCCAGGGACAGGCUAGGAUUUCACCUAUAAACCCUAAUAUCCCAUUAUAUAGCAUGUAAAUGAAUCUUGCAAUUAAGACGUGAAGAUAGAAAGGCAGAUUGUGAAUGCGAAUAAUGGUGGGAGUCUCCAGGUUGCAGAUGAAGCAUCGGUGUGUUUCAAUUUCAUCUCAAGUCAUCAUGGUUGAAACACACAAGAACCAAUCGUUCAAUCACGCUCUUCGAAACAACGAAGAAAUUCCACCGGUCACAGACGUUUGUUCUUCCUUCACUCGAUCGAUCAUCCUAUUUUUUCUGCUACCACGAAACAGAUCGGUCCCAGAUGAUGGUGGUCACCAAACUUCGACUUCGUUUCUUGCUAAAAUUGAUGGUUUUGACGGUCUCUGGUUGAUUGGCGGUGGCCGGAGAGGCGAUUUGAGCAGUGAAUAGGUGGAGCCAGAAGUUCGAUUGAUUAUUCGUGUUCAUGGGUGGCGGACUGCAUCAGGGGGCAUGGCGUGAGAGUGGGAGUAGGCGAGACUUGAUGGAGAGGUGCUCUCAUGAAUAUUAGAAGAAUUAUGCAGAUCACAAGGCACAACUUUGCAAUGUGGAGAAGGCUGCUGAAGUAUUCGAAUAGGAAGUGCAAUCUUCAACAUAUUCUCUUGGAUGGUGAGUUGACUAUUGUAGCUUCAGUAUACAUGCUUUUAACUGUUGUUCCUUUUCCAGGAUGGAAACAUUGAAGAUGCUGAAAUGAAACGUACAUUUAAUAUGGGAAUCGGGAUGGUUUUGGUUACUAGCGAAGAGGCUGCCCAAAGGAAAGAGGUAGUAUUCGACUAUUUAGUUAUGUGAUCUUGGUUACCAUAAGUAUGUAACUUAGGCUCUAUAUGUUUGAUCUUACACAUGAUUUGCACAACAUAAAAAUAGUAGAGGUGUGUAUAAGUUUAUUAUGAUAAGUUCUUCAAUUUUCUUUGAUGAAGUUGAUGCAAUCGGGGGUACACGUUUCGAUGAUGGUGUAGGUGGAGAUAAUGAGGUCCAACGAACCAUGCUUGAAAUUGUGAAUCGGCUGGAUGGGUUUGACGCUCGUGGUAAAAUUAAAGUUCUGAUGACCUGAUACACUUGACCCAGCAUUGUUAAGACUGGGAAGGCUGGAUCGAAAAGUGGGGUUUGGGCUUCCAGAUAUUGCAUCUCUGAUACAUUAGACCUUUUUUCUAUAUUUGGAUCAUUGACUUAUAAAUUGCUCAUCAUUUUUUUAAUUUUGUGAAUUCUUUAUUAUCUUACGUAUAGGAAUGAAUUCAAACGCGAGGGAGCAGGUCGCGGGAACUGGGGAACUUAGGCUAAUGAAAUUGCUCGGGAGAAGUGGUGAACGAAAGGGAGAAAACGGUGGUUUCUGAUAAAUCGUUUAACGUGGAAGAUUCAAACGAUGAGAAAAAGAAGAAUGCUGUAAAUGAGUCCGAGGAGAAGGAGCCUGAGGAUAAGGUAAAUGUAAAUCUAAAAUGUGGAAAUCCACUUUUAGAAGGAGAAACAAAGCAAGAUCUACUGAAAAUGCUUUACUAUGUUAACAAUCAAAUUGGGUAGUUUUGUGAUGGCCAAUACGGGUUGCAGUGGGUUGGGUUCGGUUCUUUUUGAUGACCUGCUAAGGCUUUUUUGACUGUUUCUUUUGAGUGAUAUAAAUAGCACAAACUGUAUGCAUCAAAAGUCCUCUCAAAAGUUGGAUCAGAUUUAACUGGUGGAUGCAUGAAUCCAGCUGCUGUUGUUGGGUGGGCAUAUGCUCUUGGUGUUCAUAAAACAAAGGAGCAUAUAGUUGUUUAUUGGUUUGCCCCCAUCGAGGCGACUUUAUUGGCUGUAUGGACAUUUAGGUUGCUUGUACGGCGUCCAAAACCAGAGAAACAAAAGAAACAGAAGACUAACUGAAGGUGAUUCUAUCACACCUCACACGGUUGCACAAAACCAAUCCUUCUACAUAUAUAGAAUGAAGAUUCCAUUUACAGAAUUCUACAUUAUAGAUUUUUUGGUCUUCCAUCCCAAUUGCAUUCUUUAAUCUCCAAAUUAGAGAUAAAAGUGAUGUAUACUCAACUCAUGUUGUAUUCCUUUAUCACAAAAUUGCAGAAGCUUUGACUUUUACAAGUCAAUUAAGAAUUGAAUGCGAUGUACUGAUGUAAUACAUAUUUUGAUUAAGUCCACAUGCCAAAUUUAUGGUGGAUUUUACAA